UACAGAGGUCUCAAGCGUUGUUCGGAUUCAUUGGGCGUAAAGGGUGCGUAGGUGGCGCUGUAAGUCGGGUGUGAAAUCCUGAGGCUUAACCUUGGAACUGCAUUCGAUACUGCGGCGCUUGAGGACUGGAGAGGAGACUGGAAUUCAUGGUGUAGCAGUGAAAUGCGUAGAGAUCAUGAGGAAGACCAGUGGCGAAGGCGGGUCUCUGGACAGUUCCUGACACUGAGGCACGAAGGCCAGGGGAGCAAACGGG
rnacentral:rRNA from 1 species